rnacentral:rRNA from 1 species
CCAAUAGCGUAUAUUAAAGUUGUUGCAGUUAAAAAGCUCGUAGUUGAAUUUCAGGCCUGGCUGGACGGUCCGCCUUUUGGGUGAGUACUGUCUGUGGUCGGGUCCUACCUUCUGGCGAAGCGUCAUGGCCUUAACCGGCCGUGGCGGGGAACCAGGACUUUUACUGUGAAAAAAUUAGAGUGUUCAAAGCAGGCAAUCGCUUGGAUACAUUAGCAUGGAAUAAUGGAAUAGGACAAUGGUUCUAUUUGUUGGUUUCUAGGACCGUUGUAAUGAUUAAUAGGGAUAGUUGGGGGCAUUAGUAUUCAAUUGUCAGAGGUGAAAUUCUUGGAUUUAUUGAAGACUAACUACUGCGAAAGCAUUUGCCAAGGAUGUUUUCAUUAAUCAAGAACGAAAGUUAGGGGAUCGAAGACGAUCAGAUACCGUCGUAGUCUUAACCAUAAACUAUGCCGACUAGGAAUCGGGCGAUGUUGACAAAAUGACGCGCUCGGCACCUCAUG